rnacentral:misc_RNA from 1 species
AUCACAUGGAUGUGUGAACAUUCUAUUAUCUAUAAAUAAAGCUUCCAUACACAAUAAGCUGGCUUAGCACUUUAGCAGUGAUGCGAACAAAAGCCAAGACACCAAAAUGCAGCUAGGAGAGAAAUCUUGGUCUUUUAUCCUCUUUCAGUGCCAUUUUGGCCUCUUAGAGUUUGUGCCAAUAUGAAAUAUAUUGGUCACUGACUGAGUUAGUUUGCUUUCUCAUUAGUUUGCUUUUGCAUGCCUUCUGCUAUUGUAAAAUACAACAGCAUAAAAAAAAAAAA